UUACGAAAAAGUAACUGAUUUACAAAUUAGAUAAGGCGGGGAAGUUGACUGAAUUACAAAAUACACAUUGACUAAAUAUUAUAUAGAUUUUAACAAGUUACCAAAGACAUUGGAAUAAUUUUGUCUGUUACUUUAACUAUUUGAUUAUAAAUACUGACAUACCUUCUACCUCCUAUCCAUAUCAGAGCUUCUCUUCUUAUUUCAGUUCUUAAAUUACAAAAAAAAUAAUAAUACAAUAAGUCGUGCAAAAGGUUGAAGUAAACCAAUUUUGAAAGAGACACACAUUUUGGUUAUUCAACAACUUCGAUCGCC
rnacentral:lncRNA from 1 species